UGAGAGGCAGGACCUGCCCUCGACUUGACUUUAAGCCAACCAAUUAGUGAAAACUUACUGGAUAAUUAAGUGCCUGAUUAUGAAGCUUAUUUGUUCGCUCUCGUUUCUCCUUCUUUGUGCCGAUGGCACCGGAAGUUUCCCAAGGAGCAGCAGACCCAAGCCAAGCAGAAGCAAACCGACAGCAUCCAAAGAAAAACUAAAAGAAAAUGGAAAGUUUUGAUUUAUAAUCGUACAAGUUUAUAGCUCUCUAUCGUUGUCGUUGUCAAUGUCGAUUCAGUUCUGUGUUGCAUUUCUUGAGUUGUCUCUACCGACUCGGAAAAGGGGAUUUGUCAGGCAGGGCUGUUCAUGAAUGGAAUUCGAUUCGAUUCUCCUUCAUAGAAUAUUUAAUUUAUUUGCAAUAUCCGCUCAUUCGUCCUGCUCGCUCUCAGGUGUUGAAUGGACAUUCAAAUUGUAUGGAAUGCCAAGCCCAACAAUAAGCCGCUUUAAGCCCAAUAAAUUUCAAUUAAAAUGUCAACGUUUAGGAGCUAACUUUUACAAUGUAAUCCGUGAAUAUAUUUUGUGUCUGCUUUGGCGACGAAGGAGGGGCAGGUGUUGAGGAGGAUUUAUCGCUGCCAUUUGCUUAUUGACAGCCAGGAAAGUGAGCGUGACAUGAUGGAAAGUAAUCUAAUGGAGACGGGGAUGGACCAGCUGACUCAGAAAAGUCUCUGAAAUGCAACGCUGCAUGGAUGUCAAUGCAAUACUAAAAUUUAAUGCAAAACUACAUUCAAAAUAUGAAUACCCUUCACCCUUCGCAAAUUAUAAAAAACUUCUUGUCUGGCGGAUAAAUUUCGAAU